ensembl:lncRNA
CUGACGAUGUUUAGCCUGACUCCACCCAGUCAGCAAGAACAGUAACAGGCAGGAAAAUGGUGCAUGCAGGAGGAGAAAGAAGAGGAAAAAGACUGCCUUCAAUCUUUCUGCUGGAGCUGAUGCUAUAUACUUUCUUGUGGAAAAAAGUUGUGUGAAAAAAUAAUCUGUAAGUGUGAAUGGCACGAAAAUGGAAUUAUCCAUCAAAUGGAGGGAGUGAUUCCUCCAAGUCAGACAGGAUCCAGAGAACUGAGAUCUCUCACAAGCAUUUAAAACCUACCGCUUGUUUUCCUUCAACAUUUGUCAGAUCUCCCACUGGUGAUCAAAGAAUGCCAAACUGAAAGCAGACCUAUAUUUGUGAUUGUUUGCUACCCUCUGCGAUAAGUUUAUCCAUCAGUUUCUUUCCUGUUGACUUUCAUGUGCGCUAUCACCCCAGGAUGUUAUAUUUGCUCAAACAGAAAAUGGAAUUACAAGCAGAAGAAGCCGCUGCAUGGAAGGUCUGCUGCUGUGCUGCCCGCUGGAGACUUGCCUUGCGGUGAGGGCUACAGACACAAAAACAGCUUGGCACUGGGAGCUCCAUCUUGCUGUGGCAUAAGCUGGCUUCCUGCUGACUUCAGAUCUGCCUUCACACAGGUUUCUCUAGAUUGAGAUGAUAGAGUGGAGGCAAGUACUGUGCACUGGACUAGAGAAGUGUGUCAGCCAUAAAGGACAGCACACAGCAGCUGUGCUUUGUCUGGCACAGCAUUUUGUAGGGUUAAAAGGGAGUGACUGGAGCGUAGAGCCAUGCCAGCCAGUUUAGUCUCACCCAAGAGGUGCCAGAUUUGGUUCAAUGUGGUGAUGAAACUGCUGAGGCUUUAUAAACCUAGAUUUACUUAAGGAGGGAUUGACAGAGCAAACUAUUACUAGGGUUUGUCACAGCAACCUGUAUGUCCAGAGUGGAAGUGCUAAGCCUACAAUAGGAGGAGCGUAGAGCUGUGGACCCCUGUUUGGGGUCCUUUCCCCCUGUUUGGGGGCCUUUCAACUACAACUUUCUUGCAGUGCAGUUUCUUCUACACAUCUCCGGUUUCACAUGAUAUAAUAUUUGGCCCAGUAAAUGCAAGGCUUGGGUUUGGUCUCUAGUCAGAUGGUACCCAAAAAUAAGCAUCAAAAUAUCCACCGCUUAUUAAAAAGUCAAGAAGAAGAAAGAACAGACACAAAAUACAGUUUAGUCACCAUAAAGAAACCACCACCAAAAAGGCUGGGUAUGUAUCAGAUCAUCUUUUUGCAGAACAUUUCUUCUGAGAUAUAUGAAGGUGGGAAGACAGCCACUGGUAGAAUUUCCCCUAUUGCAAUGCCUCUUUAUUAUUUCAUUAAAAUCCUUGUAAUACACAAAACAAUAAAAGAAAGCAACUUGAAAGUUCACAAUACACAAGAUUCAUCUUGCAUUCAUAGAACGUGUGUAACUCAUUUUGUGCUGAUGUUUGCUUGUUUAAGAAUGCACACCUGCUCAUUACUACUUGUGGAAAAUAAGUUUAUUAGCCAAGGAAUGUCUGGACUCUUACUGGAAAUCCCAUGUAGAUGCAGUUAUGCUUCCUGUUAAGACUCUUCUUCAGUAAAAAAUUUGCUCCCACUGUAGUAUUCCAGGGGCAAAAGAAGCAGCAAAUGAUAUGCAGGAAAGAUGCAGGUAAAAAUAUUCACAGAGAUUAAAAACGCUCCAUGCCUGAUCCUGAUGAUUCAGUGCAUCUUUCCCUGUUGAAUGUAAGUAUUCUGUUUCAUACUACAUUUAUGUCAGAUCAAAUACUCUACUCAGAAGCUGGGACUUUACUAGUGCCUCAUUUGUAUUUGUUUUUACUUUGAAUCAAAACAUAAAGGUGGUGACAGAAAAAAUUCUGAUGCUUUGCAUAGGGUUAAUAAUUGAGAGCCAUUCAGCUUUGUUAGUCAUCCAUUUGAAGGGAAUUUCCUUAUGCAAAGAGAUUGCUCCACUUAGGACAAAACCAUUUUUUUUCUUCAUCUCUGAACUCCAAAUGAGCAGGAGAGUGGAAAGAGCAAGGGAAGGCAAAGGAGCAAAGUGGGAAGCUUUGAUCGUUUCACUGAGAGGCUGAGGCAGUUUGAAAUGAAAGAAUCUCUCACCACAUUAAAAAAGGAGGGAGAAGAAGAAAGGAGAAAGGAAGAAAAAGAAGGAGAAACAGAGAGCACAGUGUGACAGAAACAAUGUGAAGCAGGAGCCCAAGCCUCACAGGAAGGGUUGUUGCCAGACCCUACAGAAGCUUUUUUGCAAAAAGUAGAGAAGGGGCAUCUUAGUUUCUUUAACAGACUCCAUAAAACCAAUGAAUUGCCAAGAGAAGCAAAGAAAUAACAGGAAGAAAAUGUAUUCAGGUGACUUUUCACUUUGCCUUGCUCGUUGCAUCUUUUGUGCAAUCUAGAUGAUAAAAUAAUUGAGUCUAAUCAGCCUGCAGCUAUAGAAAAGCUUGUGUCAAAGCUAUCAGGCAAGCUGCAAGAAGAACACUCCCCCAAAGUCUUAAGGGGUAGGCCUGAGAGAUCCUAUUUCACAGUGGAGAGCCAUACCCUGGGUGUGUGAGGGCUUUGCAGCCCACUUGGUUCAGGGUGAACUUAACAGAAAAGGCAUCAAACAGAAACUGGUUCAAAACUCAUGUGGAGCAGGUCUGCUAAUGCUGUGUCUCCAUUUUGAAAUGAGCAGAAAAUUAAUAACUAUAAUCUGUGGAUGUAAUUUUGUCAUUACCAGUUUGACUGGUACUUUAUUCCAGCCCAACUAAAUGAAUAGGACUUC